UCCGAUAAGUGAGGCGUGGUUACAAACAGUUUCAGACUACACCACAAUGGAAGGAUCUAAACCUAUGGCCUUCCUAGAGGCCGUUUAAGCUAAAGUUUUAAAUAAAAAACUUGUGAAACUAUACCUAAGGAACCUUAUGAUAAAAUUUCAUGAUUUAUGGAUGUGUAACUUAAGAUUUAAGAUUUAGAGUAAUUAAAAGAACAUGAUAUGACUGUUAGUGUUCAGUUUCUUUAAGUUGGUUGUUUGCUGAAAUUGUUAUGUGAACCCAAUGUGUUGCUUAGAACGAUAUGAGGAUGUUGCAUCCAUGCAUUGCAUACAUCUUAAGAUACCUAAAAGAAAAUCAUGAUAAAAUGGUAUUCCAACCCUUGGUUUUCUUGCUAUUUGGAUGUCCAGCUCUGAGCCAAGCUCAAGUAAUCUGCUUACUGUCCAAGAAUUGACUAUGCCAUCUUUAUCUCUCUCAACAGUCGGUGCAUGUGUUCUCCUCAAGUAUUGCCAACACCGAUCCUUUUUAUACUUGAUCUUUCUCUCAUCGCUAGACCUUUCUCACUUGAGCCACAUAUGAACACUCUAUAUAAUGACAUCCGAAAUCCUAUAAAUUGGUUCAAGACUACUGAGAAAAACUCCAUGGUUGGAUCCGAUUAAUGAUAAGCUGUCAGGGUUUUUGUUUCUAAAUUCCGUGCUAUUCCUCUGUUUCCACCUUCC
rnacentral:lncRNA from 1 species